rnacentral:rRNA from 1 species
AUACGGAGGGUGCAAGCGUUAAUCGGAAUUACUGGGCGUAAAGCGUACGUAGGCGGUUCGUUAAGUUAGAUGUGAAAGCCCCGGGCUUAACCUGGGAACUGCAUUUAAAACUGGCGGACUAGAGUUGGGUAGAGUGGAGUGGAAUUUCAGGUGUAGCGGUGAAAUGCGUAGAGAUCUGAAGGAACACCAGUGGCGAAGGCGACUCCCUGGACUCGAACUGACGCUGAGGUACGAAAGCGUGGGUAGCAAACGGGAUUAGAAACCCUAGUAGUCC